rfam:Felis catus isolate Cinnamon breed Abyssinian chromosome D2, whole genome shotgun sequence.
GCCUGGGUGGCUCAGUCGGUUGAGCGUCCGACUUCGGCUCAGGUCAUGAUCCCAUGGUUCGUGAGUUCGAGCCCCGCAUCGGGCU